UACAGAGGUCCCGAGCGUUGUUCGGAUUCACUGGGCGUAAAGGGUGCGUAGGUGGUGAGGUAAGUCGGAUGUGAAAUCUCCGGGCUCAGCCCGGAAAUGGCAUUGGAAACUACCUUGCUAGAGGAUUUGAGGGGGGAUUGGAAUACUUGGUGUAGCAGUGAAAUGCGUAGAUAUCAAGUGGAACACCAGUGGCGAAGGCGAAUCCCUGGAAAAUACCUGACACUGAGGCACGAAAGCUAGGGGAGCAAACAGG
rnacentral:rRNA from 1 species